rnacentral:rRNA from 1 species
AUUGAACGCUGGCGGCAUGCUUUACACAUGCAAGUCGAACGGUAACAGGCCGCAAGGUGCUGACGAGUGGCGAACGGGUGAGUAAUGCAUCGGAACGUGCCCAGUCGUGGGGGAUAACUACUCGAAAGAGUAGCUAAUACCGCAUACGAUCUAUGGAUGAAAGCGGGGGACCGUAAGGCCUCGCGCGGGUGGAGCGGCCGAUGUCAGAUUAGGUAGUUGGUGGGGUAAAGGCUCACCAAGCCAACGAUCUGUAGCUGGUCUGAGAGGACGACCAGCCACACUGGGACUGAGACACGGCCCAGACUCCUACGGGAGGCAGCAGUGGGGAAUUUUGGACAAUGGGCGCAAGCCUGAUCCAGCAAUGCCGCGUGCAGGAAGAAGGCCUUCGGGUUGUAAACUGCUUUUGUACGGAACGAAACGGCUCUGGUUAAUACCCGGGGCUAAUGACGGUACCGUAAGAAUAAGCACCGGCUAACUACGUG